UAGGUUUGCCCUAAGUCAAACUAGCUUAAGUUUGACCAACUAUAUAGAAGAAUGUGCUAGGAUCUACAUAACCAAAUACACAUAUACGAAAAUAUAGUUCAUAAAGAAUCUCGCGGGACUAAUUUGGUGCUCUAGAUGUCAAUAUAUUUUUCUAUAGAGUUGGUCAAACUUAAACAAGUUUGACUUAGGACAAAACCAG
rnacentral:pre_miRNA from 1 species